GCUCUGGUGGCCUAAGUGGUUAGAGCGUCUGCCUCAAAUACAAGAGGUUGCAGGUUUGAACCCUAACCAGGUCA